rnacentral:rRNA from 1 species
UAAUAAUAAGUCCUACCUGCCCAGUGAUUUUUUUUCAACGGCCAUCUUUGAUGAUAACGUAGCAUAAUCAAUUGUCUAUUAACUGUAGACUUGAAUGAAUGGAUUAACGAGAGCCAAACUGUCUCCUAAUUUUAAUCAAUGAAACUAACCUUUCUGUCCAAAGGCAGAAAUAAAUAUAUAAGACGAAAAGACCCUAAAAGCUUCAAAUACUAAAUUAACCUUCUUGCGAAUAACAACUUAAAGAACCACUAAUUUCUAAAAUUUGGUUGGGGCAACCAUUUAAGCAAACCAUCAUCAAUAAUUAAACUUAACCUUAAUGAUUCAAGAGUGACUACUCAAUAAACUAAGAAACUUAUUAAUAUGACCCAGGAAUAAUCUGAUCAAUGAACAAGUUACUUUAGGGAUAACAGCGCUAUUUCUUUUCAAAGUUCCCAUCGACAAAGAAGCUUACGACCUCGAUGUUGGAUUAAGAUACCCUAGUGGUGCAAAAGCUACUAACGGUUCGUUUGUUCAACGAUUAAUAUCUUACGUGAUCUGAGUUCAGACC